GAGAUACUGCAGACAAGAGAGAAAGACAAAGGGGAAAGUAUGCUUCUGGAUAUAGCAAAGAUCUCUGAACUUCACUAGAAGAUUUUACCGGCACACCCAGCAACUUCAUGUUAGCCAGAGUAAGUAAGCAGUUUUAAAUUUGAGAAAUGGCUUGUGGUCUCAGAUGGAGAAAGGGAAGAUGACUCAGUAAGGACAAAAGUUUCCAACCCUGAAGAGCACUGGAUGAAGUGGUGGCGGCAGCCCUUCUGACCAGCAGUAAUCCCGGGCUGCCGUUCCUCCUCUGAACCCAAAAAUCUGCAUUUCCUGAAUCAACAGGCCCAGCACAGGGCUGUCUCUCACCACCAUUACUCAUAGCUGUGCAUCUCUGGGUAGAGCUAUCAUUCUGUCUCUCAAGUACCUGUUCGGGAAGAGAUCUUAAAACACAUAGUUUCAUGUAAAAAAAUCCAGCCUUUUGCUUCCAGCAGCAGCUGGUCUAGUAGGAGAGAGCUGCCCACACCUUGACCAGUUUGGCCACACAGCUUGCUAGGUAAGGACAGGCCAGCACACUUAUACUGCUGCCAGGAAUAUUGCUACUGAUAGUGCUCACUGAACCAUGUUGUAUCAGCUGCAUCCAUGUCAGAGGAGCAUGUCCAAGACGAGUUACAGCUAACAAGGCUCUAUUUGAGGGGAAAAAUGAGACCAGAGUGAGAUUUAUGACAAUUGCAAGUACAGAAUAAGCAGUAUGAACAGCUGAGCCCCAAAGAAUGGUAAGGUGCUCUUUACAUACAAAUAUUUUCAGUGGCGAAAAAAAAAAGAAAAGAAAAAAAAGAAAGAGAAGAGAGAAAAAAAUCAGAAAAUAAGAAAAUGAACUGUAACAAACACUUUUUCUAAGUAGAGUCUUUCUGUGUUUCCCAUGGGAUUCAACUGAAUGGGGGAAGAUAAAAAAAAAGGAAGAGCAGAAACUGCUUGCAAGACAGAACAAACCUUGAGUGCCAAGAACAUGCUCCAGAUUUUUUUAAAAAUGCCUGGCUCUUAUCUCAGCCCUGAUUCAUCACAGUUUACUCCCAGAAUUAUUCAGAAUUCAAGGACCUUGCUUCUGUGGGGUUAAUGGGUUACGUUCAGCAUUGAAACCCAUGACACAAAUAGCUCCUUAAUUAUUCAG